CUGUGGCUGAGGGGAGGGAGUACUUCUCCGGAGAGAGAGAUCACGCCUAGCAACACCUGAGUUGUGCAGGGAUAAACAAGGAAACUCCGAUCUCGCAUUUGAAUCCAGCUUGCUGUGAGUGUGAUAUUUCCUCAUAACUCAUUAUCUUAAGUUUCAUUUCUGUGAAACUACUACUGAGGGGAGGGAGUACUUCUCUAGCAGAGACAGAGAUCAGACACUUGCCAACAGCCGACUUGUGCAGGGUGUGAAGAUGUCGAGAAAAAUCACCAUUUUCUGUGUAGCUCUCUGCCUCACCCUGGGCUUAGUAGCAGCUGUACAGAGUCGUCUGAACUCCAUCCAUGAUCGAAAGCUGCCUGCCAACUUCCUUUUGCUCCUUCACUGGUUUGCCAACGAAGUUCAAAUUGACAGUGAAAUCCGGCUGACCUUUGACCCAAACAGUGACCAUGGAUCACAUUAUUAUCAUAAUUCGGAACGGCUGCUGCCUUCAGGGAACCACUACUACUACUACACUCUUGGUAACCUCCUUGAGGGGUCAUUUCCAAACUACGUUCAAGACGCUCGGAAUGGUUGGAACAGGGCUCGGAUCAUAUUCAGAUUAAGGUCUCAACACUCACAGAUUAUAGACAGAGUCUACGUCACACAGCAUUUUGGGAGUUCUGAUCAGGGGACAUCUUAUGAUCAAGAAAACACACAUGAAGUCACUAUUGGCUUCUUACGACAAAUCAGAAGGCUCAGCAUUCAUAACAUCCAUCAGUUUUCACUUCAGUCCCUUCAAUCCAACACGUCUGAUUACCAGGGAUUUAACUUCUCUCCCCAACACAGCUACAGACCUUCACCUGCCACAACAGCAACCGACCAAGAUGCUUGUGGCUGUUUGUGUCGUGUCUUUCUAGCAAUUGUAGUAAUUGUAAUUGUCUUCCUUAUUUUUCUGUCUUCCUCAGUUAAUGUCAGGAAAUAUUAAAAGAAAACGUGUUUCCAGACAACAUUUUAUUCAUAAUACAACUGUGGUGCUUUUCAAUGAUAAUUUCACAAUCAGCAAUUAUUGAACAUUGAUUCUACUGAGCAGCAAUCUGUUGGUUUGGUGUACACUUUUUAUCCAUGUGUUUAAUAUGGUUGUAUAUUUUAUUCUCAUAUUUUGAGUGAUGGGAAAAUGUAUGCUUGCAGGAAAAAAGACAAAAUAUAUCCAUAUAUCCAUUUAUGCAACGCAAGUUCUUAGGUUUUGUGUAGAACUUCAGUAAAACUGCCAAUAGUCAGAACAUUUUGUCAUCAACAGAUGAAAUCAUCAGCGUUGAUAUGUGAUGUUUGCUUAGGUUGAAAAGCUUACCAAGAACCUUUGUACUGCUACAAAAACAUUAAAAACAGAAUAGCAUUACAGCGUUUCGAAAAAAAAAGGUGUUAAAACGGGCAUCUGAACAGUUUACAGUUUUAUAGAUUUAUUACUAACAAUUGUAGUUUUGUACUCAAAAGAAAGAAGUUUGACAAUAGUAUUAUAUGUAAAGUUUAUU